CGGGACGACCUAGAGAGCUCCUCGAUUCGCCGCCGCCGCCCCUGCUGCGGCUGCCGGGGCCGCUCCAGAGUGAAGGCCGGUGCGGAGCGGGGAGGACGAGCAGAGGGCCGAGGCAGGCCGGGCCCGGCCGCUUCAGGAAGUUCUAAGAAGAUGUGCUCCAUCAAAAUUCAGGGAAUAGGCCAAAGGAAAAAAAGGUGAAGGAAUUAGGUAACAAAGCCCAACAUAGGAGGGAAGCAAAGGAAAUUCCUAGGAUGAUGGUGAAGCAGAAUCCCAGGAUGACAACUAUGGAUAGCAAUCAGCCAGCCCAGAUCGGUGGAGUGGGUCAGAAGAGGUUUCCUCAAGAAGAUAAAACUGAUAGCUACGUCUUGCUUGCUAUGAGGCCUUAGUAAAGAUUGAAUGCUUGACGGUGGAUCACCAUGAGACCUGAGCUGUGCUUCAUGAACCGGGUGACGUGUGACCCACAAAGUCAGCCAUUAAGUUGGCACGCCCAGCCGUCCUCCAUCAUCAAAUGGAAGUGGUAUAUAUGAGAGUGGGCUCAAGGAGACCCUGAAGACACAGGCAACAUAAAAUGAAAACCGGGCCAUGCUUCCUCAUGGAAUACAGAAUAAGAUUCAGUAAGGUACUUUUAUUUGUGUUGAGAAUAUGAGAGUGAAUUAAACAUACAACAUCUCUGUUUUCAUGGCACUUGUGCUAUAGUCGGGGAAGAGAGUCAACAAGCAAAUGAAUAAAACAGAUACACAAUAUGUCAAAUGGUGAUUACAUUCUAUGAAGAAAAAAAUAAAGCAAGAUAAGAGGAUAGAGAGUGACAGAUGUGAACAAGGAGAGAUAUCAAGAUAUGUAUAUGUCUGGGGCAAAAGCGUUCCGAAGAAAAAGACAAGUGCAAAAGCAAGCAAACCAUACCUAUGUGUCCAGAAGUAGCCAGGAGACUUGUGUCGCCGUAGAAGAGCCAGCAAAGAGGAGAUGAGAUCCGUGGGGAAGCAAGGGCCAGAUCUUGUAGCCUGCAGGCCAGGGUGAGGGGUUUGAUUUUAAUGUGAUUGCUUCAGGCUGCUGUGCGAAGAGACUGUGGGAGUGUAAUUGUGGGAACAGGAGGACCAGUUAGGAGACUGUGUUGGUCCGGUCCUCUGAGAAGCCAAACUGAGAUAAGAUGUGUAAGAGAUGUGUUAAGAGGAACACCUACGAGGGGAAAUGAGGGAGUGGCAGAAUAGGUGCUGAGAGUCUUCAGACGGAAAUGAAAUUCUAACCUAGGUGAUGGACAGAAAGAGGACAGAAGGGUUAGAUGGAAGAGUGAAACUGCAGUGCUCUUCUAUGAAAGUUUGUCAAGGCCGAUGGGAUGUCCCUGAACCAAAGCCACCCAUCAGAGAAGUCCCCCAUCUCUCAGGAGUGGGCCUGCCCCAGUGUUCCUGCCGUGCUGUCACUGGCUGGAAGCAGACCUUGGGAAGUAUGGCUUCAGUGUGAACAGAGGGAUGGAUUCUAGAGUGCAGCAACUGGGGCCACCAUUCAGUUUUGCUCCUUCACUGCCAGGCUUAUUGCCAUCACAGAGACUUUUGCCAUAAUCCAGGGAAGAGAGAUCAUGGUGGCUUAGGUUAAGGAUGUAGAUGAAUUUUGACUGUAUGUCCAUCUGGAAGUAUUUUGAAAGUUAAGCUGACCUCUUUGGCCAAUAGAUGAUAUGGAGUGUGAGGGAGGGAGAAGGGACAAAGAUUCCUCCGAGAUUUUUUGGUUUUAAGUAUCAGAAGAAUGUGGUUGCCAUUUGCUGAAAUGGAGAAGACUGUGGGAGUCGUAACCAUGGAAAAUCGGAUGUUCAUUUUGGCCAUUUUUACUUUGAGAUGUCGAUUAAACCCCCCACAUGGAGAUAUUGAGAAGACAGCAGAAUACAGAAGUCUGCGCUUUAAGGGAGCGUUGCAAACUAGAAAUAUAAAUUUGAAAAUCAUCAGCAUGUGGACAGCAGUUAAAGUCACGGGACUGCAUUAGAUUAUCUAAGGAAUAUAUAGAGAUGAAGGAAGAAGGGGUUCAAGGCCUGACAGGGAGAAGAGGAGAAUCCCACAAAAAGACUGAAGCAGAGGCAGUCAGUAGUAGGUAGGAGGAGACGGACAGAAGAGUGGUGUCCUGGAAGCCAAGUGAAAAACGUUUUAAGGAAGGAAAAAGUUUCAGUUUUCUACUUCUUUAGUCUUGAUACCUAUUAAAUGAAAUUUCUAUGAUGUAUUAAUAUCUUACUAAGGGAACCUACUAAACAAUCAGAUAUCCUAAUGUAAUAUAUUUUUUAUAUUUCUCUUUCAUAUUUAUUUUCUCUUCUAUAUUCUGAAAUAAAGUAGUUUUAAAAAUCUGCACAACUGUUUUAUAUUUAAAGUUUUUCAACUAGUUACCUGCAGAGGCUUCUUUAAACAGGGCAUGGCUGUCCAGAGAAAUAAAUUCAAAAUAAAGAGAAAUAAUUUCAUAGAACAGUGCUUCUUAAGCCUUUUUUGGGUUAUCGACCCCUUUGGAAAUAAGGUGAAAGCUUUCCUCUGAAACAUGCAUACACACACACACACACACACACACACACACACGCAGUGUUUUGAUUGUAUUUAGAAGGAGUCUAGAUCCCUAAAGCCAACCCAUGCGUCCUUCAGGCAGCCCUGAAGCCAGGCCUUGAAUUGACUACAGAGUCCGCAUUCUUAUAACCUUUAUUUUCUUCUUGGUUAUUUAGUAGGUCCACUUAGCAAGAUCUCAAAACGUCACCAUUUUAAG